rnacentral:rRNA from 1 species
GACGAACGCUGGCGGCGCGCCUAACACAUGCAAGUCGAACGGAGUCAAGAGGAGCUUGCUUUUCUUGACUUAGUGGCGAACGGGUGAGUAACGCGUGAGUAACCUGCCCUGGAGUGGGGGACAACAGUUGGAAACGACUGCUAAUACCGCAUAAGCCCACGGAUCUGCAUGGAUCUGCGGGAAAAGGAUUUAUUCGCUCUAGGAUGGACUCGCGUCCAAUUAGCUAGUUGGUGAGGUAACGGCCCACCAAGGCGACGAUUGGUAGCCGGACUGAGAGGUUGAACGGCCACAUUGGGACUGAGACACGGCCCAGACUCCUACGGGAGGCAGCAGUGGGGGAUAUUGCACAAUGGGGGAAACCCUGAUGCAGCGACGCCGCGUGGAGGAAGAAGGUUUUCGGAUUGUAAACUCCUGUCGUGAGGGACGAUAAUGACGGUACCUAACAAGAAAGCACCGGCUAACUACG